GUAGAAGCAGAGGGUGUCUUCUUCUCAUGGAUCAGCAGGGCACGCAUCACCUCUUCGUUAUCAUCCAGAGCUGCCCGGCCCUCCUCACGCUCCUGGAAGGCAUCCAGGUCCCGCCCUCCGUCCUUGAUUUCAUCGGGAUCAUAAGCCCCCUGUACUGUGCUCUCCCGUAGCCAAAUCGGCCUCUCUCGGGCUGGCUUUCCUUCACUUGCAGAUCUGUUAACAUCCUCCUGAUCUUCCAUGCUGAUGACAACGUUCUGGGUAUACAAGUCCUCAUAGGAUGGUCCUUUUGUAGUCCAGGCUUCUCGGUGGUGUCCACUCGUAACACCAGCUGUCCCUGAA
rnacentral:lncRNA from 1 species